CAGCAUGUGUACUGCCGUUGCAAGCAUACCUUUAAAAGAACAAGUGUGCCACUAUAACUAAUAAUAAAACUCAUAUACAUCAGGUCAAAGUGCAGCUAAUAAGAAGGUGAUGAUGGGUUACAACCCCCAAAAAGACUAUCAACUAAGAAAUUAAAAAUCUUACGAAAGUGGACUUGGCCGUAAUUAAUUUACAAGUUAAAAAAAUGAAUAAUAACCUAAGACAUGCACACAUCGCCCGUCACUCUACCCUAAAGGGUGGAUAAGUCGUAACAAAGUAGGUGUAAUGGAAAUUGCACCUGUCGAAGUAUAGCAUAUAUAAUGCUUUUUACUUACACUAAAAACAAAGUUAAAUAACUUACUUCGCUCAUAUAACAAAAUCUUAAAAAUAAACAAAUAAUAGAAACAACUAAAUAAAUUCAAUAAACAAUAAAGUACAGAAAUGGAAAAUAUAAUAAAUAAAAGUAAAUUUUAAAAACUGUACCUUGUGCAUUAUGGUUUUACAAGAAAAUAGUUAAAGACAGUAAUCCCGAAUUCUAAAUGAGAUGUUAAACUGCUGUUAUGAACCCACUAAUAUCUGUAGAACAAGAUUUAAAAGACAGUUUAACAGAGGCUACAUACCAUCCGCAUAAGAAUAUAGCUGGUUUUCAACGAAUAUUAUACAUUAAAACAUAUAACAACAUUAUAAUGUAAAAUUAUUGAGGAUAAGCCCAAUAAUUUUAGCAAUAGACACAAUAAAUCACUUUACUACCGUAGGCCUAAAAUCAGCCAACUAAAGUACUUUAUCGUAAUAUACAAUGAUAAAAUAUAUAACAUACACAUGCUAAAUAAAGUUGAAAUAGUGGACUAACGAUCCUACCCCACUUACACUAUGUAAAAAUAAGUAUUAUAAAUAAAUAACAAUAAUAAACUAGUAACUCUCAACACAUAAACAAUAAUAAUUAAUUAAGGAACUCGGCAAAAUAUUAUUUCGACUGUUUAAC
rnacentral:rRNA from 1 species